rnacentral:rRNA from 1 species
UACGAAGGGGGCUAGCGUUGCUCGGAAUCACUGGGCGUAAAGGGUGCGUAGGCGGGUCUUUUAAGUCAAGGGUGAAAUCCUGGAGCUCAACUCCAGAACUGCCUUUGAUACUGAAGAUCUUGAGUUCGGGAGAGGAGAGUGGAAUUCCCAGUGUAGAGGUGAAAUUCGUAGAUAUUGGGAAGAACACCGGUGGCGAAGGCGGCCAACUGGGCCGGACCUGACGCUGAGGCGCGAAGGCGUGGGGAGCGAACGGG